rnacentral:rRNA from 1 species
GUCGUGGAGAGGGAAACGACCCAGACCGCCAGCUAAGGUCCCAAAGUAUUGCUAAGUGGGAAACGAUGUGGGAAGGCUCAGACAGCUAGGAUGUUGGCUUAGAAGCAGCCAUCAUUUAAAGAAAGCGUAAUAGCUCACUAGUCGAGUCGGCCUGCGCGGAAGAUGUAACGGGGCUAAGCAAUACACCGAAGCUGCGGCAAUAUCUUUUAGAUAUUGGGUAGGGGAGCGUUCUGUAAGCCGUUGAAGGUGAAUCGUAAGGUUUGCUGGAGGUAUCAGAAGUGCGAAUGCUGACAUGAGUAACGACAAAGGGGGUGAAAAACCUCCUCGCCGGAAGACCAAGGGUUCCUGUCCAACGUUAAUCGGGGCAGGGUGAGUCGACCCCUAAGGUGAGGCCGAAAGGCGUAAUCGAUGGGAAACGGGUUAAUAUUCCCGUACUUCUGACUAUUGCGAUGGGGGGACGGAGAAGGCUAGGUGGGCCAGGCGACGGUUGUCCUGGUUCAAGUGCGUAGGCUUGAGAGUUAGGUAAAUCCGGCUCUCUCUAAGGCUGAGACACGACGUCGAGCUGCUACGGCAGUGAAGUCAUUGAUGCCAUGCUUCCAGGAAAAGCCUCUAAGCUUCAGAUAGUCAGGAAUCGUACCCCAAACCGACACAGGUGGUCGGGUAGAGAAUACCAAGGCGCUUGAGAGAACUCGGGUGAAGGAACUAGGCAAAAUGGUACCGUAACUUCGGGAGAAGGUACGCUCUUGAUGGUGAAGUCCCUCGCGGAUGGAGCUGACGAGAGUCGCAGAUACCAGGUGGCUGCAACUGUUUAUUAAAACACAGCACUGUGCAAAAUCGCAAGAUGACGUAUACGGUGUGACGCCUGCCCGGUGCCGGAAGGUUAAUUGAUGGGGUUAGCGCAAGCGAAGCUCUUGAUCGAAGCCCCGGUAAACGGCGGCCGUAACUAUAACGGUCCUAAGGUAGCGAAAUUCCUUGUCGGGUAAGUUCCGACCUGCACGAAUGGCGUAAUGAUGGCCACGCUGUCUCCAUCCGAGACUCAGUGAAAUUGAAAUCGCUGUGAAGAUGCAGUGUACCCGCGGCUAGACGGAAAGACCCCGUGAACCUUUACUACAGCUUGGCACUGAACAUUGAACCUACAUGUGUAGGAUAGGUGGGAGGCUUUGAAGACGUGACGCCAGUUGCGUUGGAGCCGUCCUUGAAAUACCACCCUUGUAUGUUUGAUGUUCUAACUUAGACCCGUUAUCCGGGUUGAGGACAGUGCCUGGUGGGUAGUUUGACUGGGGCGGUCUCCUCCCAAAGAGUAACGGAGGAGCACGAAGGUGGGCUAAUCACGGUUGGACAUCGUGAGGUUAGUGCAAUGGCAUAAGCCCGCUUAACUGCGAGAAUGACGGUUCGAGCAGGUGCGAAAGCAGGUCAUAGUGAUCCGGUGGUUCUGUAUGGAAGGGCCAUCGCUCAACGGAUAAAAGGUACUCCGGGGAUAACAGGCUGAUACCGCCCAAGAGUUCAUAUCGACGGCGGUGUUUGGCACCUCGAUGUCGGCUCAUCACAUCCUGGGGCUGAAGUCGGUCCCAAGGGUAUGGCUGUUCGCCAUUUAAAGUGGUACGCGAGCUGGGUUUAGAACGUCGUGAGACAGUUCGGUCCCUAUCUGCCGUGGGCGUUGGAAGAUUGAAGGGGGCUGCUCCUAGUACGAGAGGACCGGAGUGGACGAACCUCUGGUGUUCGGGUUGUGUCGCCAGACGCAUUGCCCGGUAGCUAAGUUCGGAAUUGAUAAGCGCUGAAAGCAUCUAAGCGCGAAGCGAGCCCUGAGAUGAGUCUUCCCUGAUACUUUAAGUAUCCUAAAGGGUUGUUCGAGACUAGAACGUUGAUAGGCAGGGUGUGUAAGCGUUGUGAGGCGUUGAGCUAACCUGUACUAAUUGCCCGUGAGGCUUAACCAU